UAUAUCCAUCUUUGUAACUAUUCUGAAGCCUAACCUAGUGCCAGGAACACGUGAAAGUGUGCUGAAUUAACACUUUCGCAAGUAAUGAUUAUAACAUACGCGCCUACAUUCUAUGUGUGUUCAUCUGACCCAGUAGGCAAAACAAAGCCACUGGAAAUACUGAAUAGGAUGUUGAUAUGGUUUAGUUCUGUGUCCCCACCCAAAUCUCACAUCCAAUUGUAUUCCCUGUGUGUUGAAAGAGAGGCCUGAUGGGGGGUGACUAAAUCAUGGCGGCGACUGAAUCAUGGGGGCAGACUUCCCCCAUGCUGCUCUCCUGAUAGAGUUCUCGCAAGAUCUUGUUGUUUGAAAGCGGGUAGGCCAUUCCCCUUCACUCUCUCCUACUCUGCUGUUCUCUCGUAAUAAGAGUUCUCACAGAUUUUGUUAUUUGAAACUGUGUAGGACAUUUCCCUUCACUCUCUCCUCUCUGUUGUCCUGUAUAGUUCUCGCGAGAUCUUAUUAUUUUAAAGUGUUUGGCACGCCCCCCUUCACUUUCUCCUACUCUGCUGUUCUCGUGAUAGGAGUUCUCACGAGAUUUUAUUAUUUGAAACUGUGUAGGACGUUCCCCUUCACUCUCUCCUGCUCUGUUGUCCUGUAGAGUUCUCGCGAGAUCGUGUUAUUUGAAAGUGUUCCGCACGUCCCCCUUCACUCUCUCCUGCUCUGCUGGUCUCAUGAUAGAGUUUUCGCGAGAUCACUUCCCCCUUAAGACUUUCCCUUCUCCUUCGCUUCCAGUUUCCUGAGACCUCCCAGCCAUGCUUCCUGUACAGCCUGCGGAACUAUGCUACUAUCCUUCAAGAUGGUAAUUAAGAAAAGACAGAAAAAUGCCUAAACACUAACUGAUGUUUUGUCAAAAUCUGUUUCAUCAGACCCAAUGGAUAUGGCAGGAGAUAGUAUUCUACAAAAUAAUUCAGAUUCUCUUUCAAAAGACUUGAAUUGUUUCAGGAAAAAUAAACUAAUUCACAAAUCAGUA